GACGAACGCUGGCGGCGUGCUUAACACAUGCAAGUCAAGGGGGCCCGUAAGGGCAACCGGCGAACGGGUGCGUAACACGUGAGCGACCUGCCCGCUUGUGGGGGAUAGCCGGCCCAACGGCCGGGUAAUACCGCAUACGCUUUUCGGGGGGCAUCUCCCGAUUCGGAAAGAUUUAUCGCAGGCGGAGGGGCUCGCGGCCUAUCAGCUAGUUGGCGAGGUAACGGCUCACCAAGGCGACGACGGGUAGCUGGUCNGAGAGGAUGGCCAGCCACAUUGGGACUGAGACACGGCCCAAACUCCUACGGGAGGCAGCAGUGGGGAAUCUUGCGCAAUGGGGCGAAAGCCUGACGCAGCCAUGCCGCGUGGAUGAUGAAGGUCUUAGGAUUGUAAAAUCCUUUCACCGGGGACGAUAAUGACGGUACCCGGAGAAGAAGCCCCGGCUAACUUCGUGCCAGCCGCCGCUGUAAG
rnacentral:rRNA from 1 species